GACGAACGCUGGCGGCGUGCUUAACACAUGCAAGUCGAACGGAAAGGCCCUGCUUUUGUGGGGUGCUCGAGUGGCGAACGGGUGAGUAACACGUGAGUAACCUGCCCUUGACUUUGGGAUAACUUCAGGAAACUGGGGCUAAUACCGGAUAGGAGCUACUGCUGCAUGGUGGGGGUUGGAAAGUUUCGGCGGUUGGGGCUGGACUAGCGGCUUAUCAGCUUGUUGGUGGGGUAGUGGCUUACCAAGGCUUUGACGGGUAGCCGGCCUGAGAGGGUGACCAGCCACAGUGGGACUGAGAUACGGCCCCGACUCCUACGGGAGGCAGCAGUGGGGAAUAUGGCACAAUGGGCGGAAGCCUGAUGCAGCACCGCCGCGUGCGGGAUGACGGCCUUCGGGUUGUAAACCGCUUUCGCCUGUGACGAAGCGUGAGUGACGGUAAUGGGUAGAGAAGCACCGGCUAACUACGUG
rnacentral:rRNA from 1 species